rnacentral:lncRNA from 1 species
CUUUAAAAUACCUUUAUUUAAAGAGAUUAGCUCAGGUGGGAGCCCAACAGGCUGUGCACACGCUGCCGCUGCUUCCCGGAUGGAUGCUCAGGAGGAGGAAAUGCUGCUUUGUCUGCUUUAUGUGCAGGCAGAGCCAGAAGAUCUGUCCUCGCAGGAGCGGCAGGAUUCUUCCCCUUUCAACAGUCUGUGCUAUGGUCCCAGGUCCUUACUCUAUUUGAGGUCUCUGGUUAGAGUGACAGAUUAAAACUUCUCUCCGGGUACUAGAAUUAGUUGCUCACCCUUCUGCAAGCGCCUCGGUCUUAUAAUUCUGCAAAGGCUCAUAGUUCUAGGGCUUUCUAGUGUGGUUUUUGAGGAGUUCCUGUAUUUGCAUACUUUUUCUGAUGUCAUCUCCUCUGCACAGGCCCGGGCGCCAUUUUCCAGGAAGUAGCAGCUGGCAGCACAGUGAAGCUGAACCUAACACAGAAGGAUCUCCAACAAGGAAUGAACACAGCACUUCAUCUGGGAGGAAAGUGUCUGAAGAGAGCAAGGGCCACAACACUGCUGAGAGGUUAUGACUGUAGCCAGCUGAAGUUUUCUCAUGUUGGUAAGCACAUGGGAGUGUGCAAUCCCAUUGACUUUUGUGCAUGUUCAUAAAAGAAUAGAAAAAUGUCAUUAUUCUCUCUCUUUAAACUUCAAUUGGUGCUAAUUCGUUUUUCUGUGAUGCAGUUUUUGGAAAACACAAAAAAAUUUGAACAUGGUUAAGCAUUAUUCUCUGUUUGAAGUUCUUGUGCCGAUGAAAGUCUCUUUCUGAAGAAAAUGUAGACUUCAUCAGACUUAUGACUUUUGUUAUUCACAGCACACCUGAAAUUUCCUGAAUUUUAUGUAUUCCAUGAAAUGUAAGAAUGUUUUAAAAGGUUGCUUUUCUGAGACCCCACAAAGGGAUAUAAUUACUAGUGUAUUAGCAAGUUGCUAUCUUUUUAUAUUUAG